UUCCUGUCUGUCUUCCUGUCUGUCUCUCUCACACGCACUGGACCAUAUGUUUAAAUAAGCCCCCGUAGCUACAGAGCCUUCAAAGUAUUCAGGCCCCUUGAAUUUUUUCACCUUUUGUUACAUUAAACAUUUAUUCUAAAAUGGAUUUCAUUUAUUUUUUCCUCAUCAAACUACACACAAUACCCCAUAAUGACAUCACAAUACCCCAUAAUGACAUCACAAUACCCCAUAAUGACAAAGCGAAAACAGUUUUUUUUAUACAUUUCUGCAAAUGUAUAAAAAAAUAUGUAAAACAGAAAUACCUUAUUUCUACUUAAUACCUUACGUAUUUCAGACCCUUUGCUAUGAGACUCGACAUUGAGCUCAGGUGCAUCCUGUUUCCAUUGAUCAUCCUGGAGAUGCUUCUACAACUUGAUUAGAGUCCACCUGUGGUAAAUGUUAUUUAUUGGACAUGAUUUGGAAAGGCACACCUGUCUAUUAUAUAAGGUCCCACAAGUUGACAGUUCAUGUCAGAGCAAAAACCAAGCAAAGAGGUCGAAGGAAUUGUCCGUAGAGCUCAGAGACAGGAUUGUGUCGAGGCACAGAUCUGGGGAAGGGUACCAAAACAUUUCGGCAGCAUUGAAGGUCCCCAAGAACACAGUGGCCUCCAUCAUUCUGCAGCAUUGAAGGUCCCCAAGAACACAGUGGCCUCCAUCAUUCUUAAAUGAUCUGGGGAAGGGUACCAAAGGCUGUAAUGUAACAAAAUGUGAAAAAGUCAAGGGGUCAGAAUACUUUACGAAGGCACUGUCUCUCCAGAACAGGGAGCCCUCUUCUCCUCUCCAGAACAGGGAGCCCUCUUCUCCUCUCCAGAACAGGGUCUGACCCUAGUGUGUUUCUAGCCAGUCUGACCCUGCAUCGGUCAGGGUCUGACCCGGAAUGUACACAGGAGCCAUUUUUCAUUUGAAACACUGCUACUCCACCCAGUGUACUGUAGUCUGGUUCUACGGGUCUGAGGUACUGCUACUCCACCCAGUGUACUGUAGUCUGGUUCUACGGGUCUGAGGUACUGCUACUCCACCCAGUGUACUGUAGUCUGGUUCUACGGGUCUGAGGUACUGCUACUCCACCCAGUGUACUGUAGUCUGGUUCUACGGGUCUGAGGUACUGCUACUCCACCCAGUGUACUGUAGUCUGGUUCUACAGGUCUGAGGUACUGCUACUCCACCCAGUGUACUGUAGUCUGGUUCUACAGGUCUGAGGUACUGCUACUCCACCCAGUGUACUGUAGUCUGGUUCUACAGGUCUGAGGUACUGCUACUCCACCCAGUGUACUGUAGUCUGGUUCUACGGGUCUGAGGUACUGCUACUCCACCCAGUGUACUGUAGUCUGGUUCUACGGGUCUGAGGCACUGCUACUCCACCCAGUUUACUGUAGUCUGGUUCUACGGGUCUGAGGUACUGCUACUCCACCCAGUGUACUGUAGUCUGGUUCUACGGGUCUGAGGUACUGCUACUCCACCCAGUGUACUGUAGUCUGGUUCUGUAGGUCUGAGGUACUGCUACUCCACCCAGUGUACUGUAGUCUGGUUCUCCAGGUCUGAGGUACUGCUACUCCACCCAGUGUACUGUAGUCUGGUUCUAUAGGUCUGAGGUACUGCUACUCCACCCAGUGUACUGUAGUUUGGUUCUCCAGGUCUGAGGUACUGCUACUCCACCCAGUGUACUGUAGUCUGGUUCUACAGGUCUGAGGUACUGCUACUCCACCCAGUGUACUGUAGUCUGGUUCUACGGGUCUGAGGUACUGCUACUCCACCCAGUGUACUGUAGUCUGGUUCUACGGGUCUGAGGUACUGCUACUCCACCCAGUGUACUGUAGUCUGGUUCUACGGGUCUGAGGUACUGCUACUCCACCCAGUGUACUGUAGUCUGGUUCUCCAGGUCUGAGGUACUGCUACUCCACCCAGUGUACUGUAGUCUGGUUCUAUAGGUCUGAGGUACUGCUACUCCACCCAGUGUACUGUAGUCUGGUUCUCCACCCAGUGUACUGUAGUCUGGUUCUACAGGUCUGAGGUACUGCUACUCCACCCAGUGUACUGUCGUCUGGUUCUAUGGGUCUGAGGUACUGCUACUCCACCCAGUGUACUGUAGUCUGGUUCUACAGGUCUGAGGUACUGCUACUCCACCCAGUGUACUGUCGUCUGGUUCUAUAGGUCUGAGGUACUGCUACUCCACCCAGUGUACUGUAGUCUGGUUCUAUGGGUCUGAGGUACUGCUACUCCACCCAGUGUACUGUCGUCUGGUUCUACAGGUCUGAGGGUCUGGAUGUACUAUCCCCUCUGGCCAUCUGUUGAACCCAGCUUAACUCACUGAGCCCAGGGGGGACAGGCAUGGGGGACAGGCACGGGGAAGACCUGUCACCCAGACAGAUGUGUAGCUCACUGAGCCCAGGGGGGACAGGCACGGGGAAGACCUGUCACACAGACAGAUGUGUAGCUCACUGAGCCCAGGGGGGACAGGCAUGGGGGACAGGCACGGGGAAGACCUGUCACCCAGACAGAUGUGUAGCUCACUGAGCCCAGGGGGGACAGCCAUGGGGGACAGGCACGGGGAAGACCUGUCACCCAGACAGAUGUGUAGCUCACUGAGCCCA